rnacentral:ribozyme from 1 species
GAAUGGUCAAACGGAUUAUUCGAAUGUUUUGGUGAUUGCGGAGCAUGCAUGUACGUAUACUGCUGCCCUUGCUGUGCGGCAGGAGAGAUUUAUCGAGAUGGUGAUUUAGGUGGAUUCGCGGUGGGAUGCAUCUUAUUCUGUUU